GAUGAACGCUGGCGGCGUGCUUAACACAUGCAAGUCGAACGAAGCACCUCUCCCGAAGAUUGACACAGCUUGCUGUAGAUUGAUUCAUUUGAGGUGACUGAGUGGCGGACGGGUGAGUAACGCGUGGGUAACCUGCCUCAUAGAGGGGGACAACAGUUGGAAACGACUGCUAAUACCGCAUAGUAAGAAGAAUUCGCAUGUUUUCUUCUUGAAAGAUUUAUCGCUAUGAGAUAGACCCGCGUCUGAUUAGCUAGUUGGUAAGGUAACGGCUUACCAAGGCGACGAUCAGUAGCCGGCUUGAGAGAGUGAACGGCCACAUUGGGACUGAGACACGGCCCAAACUCCUACGGGAGGCAGCAGUGGGGAAUAUUGCACAAUGGGGGAAACCCUGAUGCAGCGACGCCGCGUGAGUGAAGAAGUAUUUCGGUAUGUAAAGCUCUAUCAGCAGGGAAGAUAAUGACGGUACCUGACUAAGAAGCCCCGGCUAACUACGU
rnacentral:rRNA from 1 species